CGCCCGCUGACCCGGGGCGCGGCCCUCUGCACAGCAACCGCCGCACGCGUGGUGGAGGUGCUUUGGCGAGCGCUGCCGGUGUGCCAGAGGAGGCCAGCGUUACUCUGUGUUUUGAGAAUGCGUCAGGGCAUGUGUCCUUGAAUUCUGUAGGCGCACGCAAAAUCAGCCGAAGCGAUUCUAAGGAAUGAACCUCUCACAGAGAGCAACAAGGCAGCACACAUUAGAAAAGGCCUAACUGAAAGAAACUAAAUGCUUAUUAUAUCUGCGUAUGAAGAAUCUGAACUCCUAGUGCGGUGGAAAUGGUACAAGGCAGUUUGAAAGAUUUCUGGCAACAACACUGAUGUCAUCAUUGCAGUAUUAGCUAUGGAAAUAACUUGCUCAUUACUCUUGUUAUAUGAUCAGUACUCUUGCUGCCGUGCCCAAAGGAGGCUGGUAAAGAGGGAAACAGCCAUCCCAGACAAGGAAAAUCCACAUCGGGUGAAUAGAGGUUCCAAAAGCAGUGUAAGAGAGAGGGAGCUAGAAGUUAGCUGAGACACUGAAGUGACUUUGGAAGAUAUUUGUUGAUGAAUAUAAUGUUAACAGCAUGCUUUGUUACUUUAUCUGUUUGUAACAUUGUUCCAUU